rnacentral:rRNA from 1 species
UACGUAGGGUGCGAGCGUUGUCCGGAAUUAUUGGGCGUAAAGAGCUCGUAGGCGGUUUGUCGCGUCUGCCGUGAAAGUCCGGGGCUCAACUCCGGAUCUGCGGUGGGUACGGGCAGACUAGAGUGAUGUAGGGGAGACUGGAAUUCCUGGUGUAGCGGUGAAAUGCGCAGAUAUCAGGAGGAACACCGGUGGCGAAGGCGGGUCUCUGGGCCGAUACUGACGCUGAGGAGCGAAAGCGUGGGGAGCGAACCGG